AACAGCACUUCGGUGGCUGACGAGUGGCGAACGGGUGAGUCAUAUAUCGGAACGUGCCUAGUAGUGGGGGAUAACUACUCGAAAGAGUAACUAAUACCGCAUGAGAUCUAAGGAUGAAAGCAGGGGACCUUCGGGCCUUGCGCUACUAGAGCGGCUGAUGGCAGAUUAGGUAGUUGGUGGGAUAAAAGCUUACCAAGCCGACGAUCUGUAGCUGGUCUGAGAGGACGACCAGCCACACUGGGACUGAGACACGGCCCAGACUCCUACGGGAGGCAGCAGUGGGGAAUUUUGGACAAUGGGCGCAAGCCUGAUCCAGCAAUGCCGCGUGCAGGAUGAAGGCCUUCGGGUUGUAAACUGCUUUUGUACGGAACGAAAAGCCCUCUUCUAAUACAGGAGGGUCAUGACGGUACCGUAAGAAUAAGCACCGGCUAACUACGUGCCAGCAGCCGCGGUAAUACGUAGGGUGCAAGCGUUAAUCGGAAUUACUGGGCGUAAAGCGUGCGCAGGCGGUUUUGUAAGACAGAGGUGAAAUCCCCGGGCUCAACCUGGGAACUGCCUUUGUGACUG
rnacentral:rRNA from 1 species